rnacentral:siRNA from 1 species
AUUCAGGUCAUAUGGUACAUUCAC